CCUACGGGAGGCUGCAGUGGGGAAUAUUGGACAAUGGGGGGAACCCUGAUCCAACCAUGCCGCGUGUGUGAAGAAGGCCCUCGGGUUGUAAAGCACUUUCAGUGAGGAAGAACGCCUGGUGGUUAAUACCCAUCAGGAAAGACAUCACUCACAGAAGAAGCACCGGCUAACUCCGUGCCAGCAGCCGCGGUAAUACGGAGGGUGCGAGCGUUAAUCGGAAUUACUGGGCGUAAAGCGCGCGUAGGUGGCUUGAUAAGCCGGUUGUGAAAGCCCCGGGCUCAACCUGGGAACGGCAUCCGGAACUGUCAAGCUAGAGUGCAGGAGAGGAAGGUAGAAUUCCCGGUGUAGCGGUGAAAUGCGUAGAGAUCGGGAGGAAUACCAGUGGCGAAGGCGGCCUUCUGGACUGACACUGACACUGAGGUGCGAAAGCGUGGGUAGCAAACAGGAUUAGAUACCCGGGUAGUC
rnacentral:rRNA from 1 species